rnacentral:rRNA from 1 species
AUUGAACGCUGGCGGCAGGCCUAACACAUGCAAGUCGAACGAGUGGCGGACGGGUGAGUAAUGUCUGGGAAACUGCCUGAUGGAGGGGGAUAACUACUGGAAACGGUAGCUAAUACCGCAUACCAUCAGAUGUGCCCAGAUGGGAUGAGCUGGUUGGGGGGGUAACGGCUCACCAAGGCGACGAUCCCUAGCUGGUCUGAGAGGAUGACCGGCCACACUGGGACUGAGAAACGGUCCAGACUCCUACGGGAGGCAGCAGUGGGGAAUAUUGGGCAAUGGGCGCAAGUCUGAUGCAGCCAUGCCGCGUGUGUGAAGAAGGCCUUCGGGUUGUAAAGUACUGUCAGCAGGGAGGCGUUACCCGAAGAAGAAGCACCGGCUAACUCCGUGCCAGCAGCCGCGGUAAUAC